rnacentral:lncRNA from 1 species
AUGACCACCAUAUAUGACCUGAAGAAACAGAAGGAUAAACUGUUGAAGUUUUAUGCUGAAAGUGAUGAGCAGAUAUUAAUGAAAAAUAGAAAAACACUUCAUAAAGCUAAAAAUGAAGAUCUUGAUCGUGUAUUGAAAGAGUGGAUCCGUCAGCGUCGCAGUGAACACAUGCCACUUAAUGGUAUGCUGAUCAUGAAACAAGCAAAGAUAUAUCACAAUGAACUAAAAAUUGAGGGGAACUGUGAAUAUUCAACAGGCUGGUUGCAGAAAUUUAAGAAAAGACAUGGCAUUAAAUUUUUAAAGACUUGUGGCAAUAAAGCAUCUGCUGGUCAUGAAGCAACAGAGAAGUUUACUGGCAAGUUCAGUAAUGAUGAUGAACAAGAUGGUAACUUUGAAGGAUUCAGUAUGUCAAGUGAGAAAAAAAUAAUGUCUGACCUCCUUACAUAUACAAAAAAUAUACAUCCAGAGACUGUCAGUAAGCUGGAAGAAGAGGAUAUCAAAGAUGUUUUUAACAGUAAUAAUGAGGCUCCAGUUGUUCAUUCAUUGUCCAAUGGUGAAGUAACAAAAAUGGUUCUGAAUCAAGAUGAUCAUGAUGAUAAUGAUAAUGAAGAUGAUGUUAACACUGCAGAAAAAGUGCCUAUAGACGACAUGGUAAAAAUGUGUGAUGGGCUUAUUAAAGGACUAGAGCAGCAUGCAUUCAUAACAGAGCAAGAAAUCAUGUCAGUUUAUAAAAUCAAAGAGAGACUUCUAAGACAAAAAGCAUCAUUAAUGAGGCAGAUGACUCUGAAAGAAACAUUUAAAAAAGCCAUCCAGAGGAAUGCUUCUUCCUCUCUACAGGACCCACUUCUUGGUCCCUCAACUGCUUCUGAUGCUUCUUCUCACCUAAAAAUAAAAUAA